CAGGGGUUUGGUAGUUAGCCUCACCUCGGAGUCGUUGAGGUUUUCUCGAGGGUCUGGUAAAUUAGACCUCACGUUAGUUGACCAUAGUUAUAGUUCAGAUUCUUGAGUAGAAGGAGAAGGCAACUCUUGGAGAACUCGGAUGCCAAUCACAAAUUAAUGGCCCUACAAAUUUUAUUUUCAUGAAAAAUAGUUACAUCAUUGAUA
rnacentral:lncRNA from 1 species